GGGGGUGUUAAGGAAUCGACAUCAGACCAUGGGCUUAAGUUUCGAUUAGAGUUUUGAGUCUCUUUAAAAACUCAGCAGAAAUAUAACUGCUAAAAAUGAAAAUACUUACGCUUUAGCUGCCUAAAAAACAGUUGCGUGACUUGUUCUUAUUUGUCUAUAGGUAAGAUUUAGGUCUCAAAUUAAUAUAGACUUAGCUUUAAUUAUAACCCAAUAGUUAAAGCAAAAUUAAAUGGGUUAGUCUUUUAUGAAGGAAUUCUUGAAUCCUGGUAUUAGGCGAAUUUUAAUUCAAGAUAUAAUCGUGACCAAAAACUUCUGAUUCAGAUCUGGUGGACAGGGGUUCAAAUCCCCUCACCUCCAU
rnacentral:tmRNA from 1 species